rnacentral:rRNA from 1 species
UACGGCGUGCUAAUGCAUGCAGUCGAACGGGAUCCUUUGGACUCGUCUAAAGGUGAGAGUGGCGAACGGGUGAGUAACACGUUGGUGACCUGCCCCAGAGAGGGGGACAACCACUGGAAACGGUGGCUAAUACCCCAGAUGUCUUCGACCUUAGAAGUCGAUGACUAAAGCACCGGCGCUCUGGGAGGGGCCUGCGGCCCAUCAGCUAGUUGGUAGGGUAAUGGCCUACCAAGGCAAAGACGGGUAGGGGGCGUGAGAGCGUGACCCCCCACACUGGUACUGAGACACGGACCAGAUACCUGCGGGUAGCAGCAGCAAGGAAUAUUGCCCAAUGGACGAAAGUCUGAGGCAGCAACGCCGCGUGGAGGACGAAGGCCUUCGGGUUGUAAACUCCUUUUCUGGGGGAUGAGAAAGGACAGUACCCCAGGAAUAAGUCUCGGCUAACUACGUGCCAGCAGCCGCGGUAAAACGUAGGAGGCGAGCGUUAUCCGGAUUUACUGGGCGUAAAGCGCAUGCAGGCGGUUUUCUAAGUCGGACGUGAAAGCUCCUGACUCAACUGGGAGAGGCCGUUCGAAACUAGGAGACUUGAGGGUGGUAGAGGAGAGUGGAAUUCCCGGUGUAGUGGUGAAAUGCGUAGAUAUCGGGAGGAACACCAGUGGCGAAGGCGGCUCUCUGGGCCAACCCUGACGCUCAGAUGCGAAAGCUAGGGGAGAGAACGGAAUUAGAAACCCCGGUAUUCCUAGCCGUAAACGAUGUCAACUAGGCGUAGGGGGUUAUUGACCCCUCCUGUGCUGUAGCUAACGCAUUAAGUUGACCGCCUGGGGACUACGGCCGCAAGGCUAAAACUCAAAGGAAUUGACGGGUCCCCGCACAAGCAGCGGAGCGUGUGGUUCAAUUCGAGGCUACCCAAAAACCUUACCAGGGUUUGACAUGCUGGUGGUAGAACUUGAAACGAACCGACCUUCGGGAACAACACAGGUGCUGCAUGGCUGUCGUCACUCGUGCGUGAGGUUUAGGUUAGUCCUGUACGAGCGCACCCUCGUCGCUAUUA